CUGACGAGUCCCAAAUAAGACGAAACGCGCGUN
rnacentral:hammerhead_ribozyme from 1 species